rnacentral:rRNA from 1 species
AGUGAACGCUGGCGGUAGGCCUAACACAUGCAAGUCGAACGGCAGCACAGUAAGAGCUUGCUCUUACGGGUGGCGAGUGGCGGACGGGUGAGGAAUACAUCGGAAUCUACUUUUUCGUGGGGGAUAACGUAGGGAAACUUACGCUAAUACCGCAUACGACCUACGGGUGAAAGCAGGGGAUCUUCGGACCUUGCGCGAUUGAAUGAGCCGAUGUCGGAUUAGCUAGUUGGCGGGGUAAAGGCCCACCAAGGCGACGAUCCGUAGCUGGUCUGAGAGGAUGAUCAGCGACACUGGAACUGAGACACGGUCAAGACUCCUACGGGAGGCAGCAGUGGGGAAUAUUGGACAAUGGGCGCAAGCCUGAUCCAGCCAUACCGCGUGGGUGAAGAAGGCCUUCGGGUUGUAAAGCCCUUUUGUUGGGAAAGAAAAGCAGCAGGUUAAUACCCCGCUGUUCUGACGGUACCCAAAGAAUAAGCACCGGCUAACUUCGUG